UAGGGAAUCUUCCACAAUGGACGAAAGUCUGAUGGAGCAACGCCGCGUGAGUGAAGAAGGGUUUCGGCUCGUAAAACUCUGUUGUUAAAGAAGAACAUAUCUGAGAGUAACUGUCCAGGUAUUGACGGUAUUUAACCAGAAAGCCACGGCUAACUACGUGCCAG
rnacentral:rRNA from 1 species